AAGGUCCGGGCGUAUCCGGAUUAUUGGGUUUAAAGGGAGCGUACGCCGGAGAUUAAGCGUGUUGUGAAAUGUAGUGGCUCAACCUCUGCACUGCAGCGCGAACUGGUCUUCUUGAGUACGCACAACGUGGGCGGAAUUCGUGGUGUAGCGGUGAAAUGCUUAAUAUCACGAAGAACUCCGAUUGCAAGCAGCUCACGGGAGCGCAACUGACGCUGAAGCUCGAAAGUGCGGGUAUCGAACAGGAUUAGAUACCCUGGUAGUCCGCACGGUAAACGAUGGAUGCCCGCUGUUGGCCUGAAUAGGUCAGCGGCCAAGCGAAAGCAUUAAGCAUCCCACCUGGGGAGUACGCCGGCAACGGUGAAACUCAAAGGAAUUGACGGGGGCCCGCACAAGCGGAGGAACAUGUGGUUUAAUUCGAAGCAACGCGAAGAACCUUACCUGGUCUUGACAUCCCGAUGACCGGUCUAGAGAUAGACUUUUCUCUUCGGAGACAUCGGUGACAGGUGGUGCAUGGUUGUCGUCAGCUCGUGUCGUGAGAUGUUGGGUUAAGUCCCGCAACGAGCGCAACCCUUAUUGUUAGUUGAUACAUUUAGUUGAUCACUCUAGCGAGACUGCCGUUGACAAAACGGAGGAAGGUGGGGACGACGUCAAAUCAUCAUGCCCCUUAUGACCAGGGCUACACACGUACUACAAUGGCAGUCAUACAGAGGGAAGCAAAGCUGUGAAGCAGAGCAAAUCCCUAAAAGCUGUCCCAGUUCAGAUUGCAGGCUGCAACUCGCCUGCAUGAAGUCGGAAUUGCUAGU
rnacentral:rRNA from 1 species